rnacentral:rRNA from 1 species
CCUACGGGUGGCAGCAGUGGGGAAUAUUGCACAAUGGGGGAAACCCUGAUGCAGCAACGCAGCGUGAGUGAAGAAGUAUCUCGGUAUGUAAAGCUCUAUCAGCAGGGAAGAAGAUGACGGUACCUGAAUAAGAAGCCCCGUCUAACUACGUGCCAGCAGCCGCGGUAACACGUAGGGGGCAAGCGUUAUCCGGAUUUACUGGGCGUAAAGGGAGCCCAGACGGUAGGUCAAGUCAGUAGUGAAAGCCCAGGGCCCAACCCCGGAACUGCACUGGAUACUGUGAGGCUAGAGUACUGGAGGGGCAGGCGGAAUUCGUGGUGUAGCGGUGAAAUGCGUAGAUAUUAGGAGGAACACCAGUGGCGAAGGCAGCCUGCUAGACAGUAACUGACGUUGAGGCUCGAAAGCGUGGGGAGCAAACAGGAUUAGAUACCCGUGUAGUC